rnacentral:rRNA from 1 species
UACGUAGGGCGCAAGCGUUGUCCGGAAUUAUUGGGCGUAAAGAGCUCGUAGGCGGUCUGUCGCGUCGGUUGUGAAAACCCAAGGCUCAACCUUGGGCCUGCAAUCGAUACGGGCAGACUAGAGUACUGCAGGGGAGACUGGAAUUCCUGGUGUAGCGGUGGAAUGCGCAGAUAUCAGGAGGAACACCGGUGGCGAAGGCGGCGAUCUGGGUAGAUACUGACGCUGAGGUGCGAAAGCGUGGGGAGCAAACAGG